CAAGAUCUCCAAUGAAAGCAGAGCAGCAGAAAGACGUGCUGAGUGUAAAGCUGUCAGCAGGGGGAAUAACACAGGGCUGUGAAUGAGUCCUGUCACUGUGAUCAGGCUCCUCCUUCUAAUCCACCAACUUAGUGUUGAUGAAGACUAAACAGAGAGAUCACAGCUUCUUUAUACUUGCUGUAGCUCACAGUUACUCUACACUGCAGAUAUGACGCCUCUGUUCAUCUCAGUGCUGCUGGCUGCUAUGUGCCUCGAAUGCAGAGCACAAAAAGACAACGUGCUGCAAGCAAAAGGAGAAGAGACUGCUGCUGCAGGAGGCACAGUAACACUUCACUGUCUCUAUAACAGCAGCACAACAACAGCUCCUUCUCUCUUCUGGUACAAACAGGAUGGAAACAACAGCCCCAAAUUCAUCCUGAGUCGUGUUAGCAGGGAUGAUGGAAACACAGCAGAUGAGUUCAAGGAGAGAUUUUCAUCCACACUGGAUUCUAGCAUCAGAUCAGUUCCUCUGAAGAUCCAGAAGCUUCAGCUGUCUGACUCUGCUGUGUACUACUGUGCUCUGCAGCCCACAGUGACAGGAAACACCAAAACUCUGUACAAAAACCUUUGGAGCAAAGACAACAGAAUACUCCACAACAUCCACUAGAGGGAGCCA